rnacentral:lncRNA from 1 species
GGCGACUACGGCUUCGACCCCUUCGGCCUCGGGAAGCCCGCGGAGUACCUGCAGUACGACGUGGACUCCCUGGACCAGAACCUGGCCCAGAACCUGGCGGGCGAGAUCAUCGGCACCCGGUUCGAGGACGCCGACGUCAAGUCCACCCCGUUCCAGCCCUACGCCGAGGUGUUCGGCCUCCAGAGGUUCCGCGAGUGCGAGCUCAUCCACGGCCGCUGGGCCAUGCUCGCCACCCUCGGCGCCCUCACCGUCGAGUGGCUCACCGGCGUCACCUGGCAGGACGCCGGCAAGGUACGCAACGUCGUCUCGACCUCAUGCACGUAUAGGACCUGAAUACUGCAAGGCGAGCGUACUGAUCUGUGCAACGAUGCUGGCAGGUGGAGCUGGUGGACGGGUCGUCGUACCUGGGGCAGCCGCUGCCGUUCACGCUCACCACGUUGAUCUGGAUCGAGGUGCUGGUGAUCGGGUACAUCGAGUUCCAGCGCAACGCGGAGCUGGACCCGGAGAGGAGGCUCUACCCCGGUGGCUCCUACUUCGACCCGCUGGGACUCGCGGCGGACCCGGUGAAGAAGGAGACUCUGCAGCUGGCGGAGAUCAAGCACGCCCGCCUCGCCAUGGUCGCCUUCCUCGGCUUCGCCGUGCAGGCCGCCGCCACCGGCAAGGGGCCACUCAACAACUGGGCCACCCACCUCAGCGACCCGCUGCACACCACCAUCUUCGACACCUUCGGCUCCUCUUAAGUGGUCGGUGGUCGAGCAAUUUCUGUCAGCUCAGCUGCAAAAUGGACGAACGCGCGUCAGUGUACGAACGUGCUUUGGUUUUGUAUGACGAGUGAUGGAUGAGAGGGUAUCGCAAAGAUCCUUUGUUGAUUAAUGCAGGUCUGAUCACAUAGGAGAGCUGCUGGGACUUGGUGAUUUGUAAAAUAUGAACCAAUGGUGACUUAAUGCAUCCACUUGUACAUCAAUCUUGAGCUAAUCUUUUGUUUCGUUUUUGCGAUUACAAAAAUAGCAUCCACGCAAGUGCAAUUCGUAAUCACGAUGCAGAAUUGACCGGGACCGCCCCGCCACACUGUCACUGAGCUUGCUGCCUCUUUGAUCUCUACCAAUGAAUCUUCUCUAAAGACAUGUAUUUCUCUUUCCAAUUCACCUUCAUGUCCCCCGGCGUAAUAUUCAACCUUAUCCACUCACAAGAAAACCCUUGUAAAUCUCUUUUGAGAUACAUAUAGUGAUUCUUGGUCAUAUAAAUUUUGAGGAUGAAACCACUCCAUUCAUUACAGAAUUCUUAUGGUGGUUUUAGUUGAAGAAUUAUGGAACGGAGGGGGUACCGAAAUUGGCCUUUGUUGUGAGAGCUGAGAACUUUGUUGUCUUUGGCCUUGUAUAGCUUCAGUAGUUGUAUCACCAGUUUUGAAGCGGGUGCUAGUUAUGAAACCAUAUGGUGACAGUGCUCGUGGGUGCGUGGUCUGCUGGUGUUGGUCUACUCUUUUGUGUGUAACAUCCCAAAAUUCUAAAUUUUGCAAUGUUAUAUUAAUUAAAUAAAUAUGAUUGAUUGACAGAAACUGAGUGAAAUUUGUUUUUUUUUAAGUUGAAUGAUCGCGGCCGUCGGACAACGCUGGAGCCCUCCCCACCGCUGUAAGCCACCGACGCCCUCCUUCACUAUUAAAUCUGCAACGUACGACGAUUAGGUCAUCGUUUUUAUUUUAAAAGCACGAAUCGUUUUCUACUAUAUUUCGGCCGUCCGCCGUUUAGUCGUAGCGGUGCACACCCAUAGCCCAAUCACGUGUUGCCACGUAGCCCACUGUCCGUUAGCUAGCACUUUUAUUUUCUGUUUUGUUUUUAAUUUUCAUAUUUAGUUCUGUUUUUAUAUUUGCAAUAUCUUUUAUGCUUUAAAUCCAAAUUGAGUGAUUCUUUUUGCUAUAGUUUCUUUUAUGAAGUUUCUGUUUGUGCAAUUGGAUUUCAAAUUUGAGUAGUUUAAACUUGAAUUUCAUGAAAUUUGUUCAAAUCAUUAUUUUGGCCAUAUCUUGAGUUUAAAAAUAUUUUUUUGAGUAAUUCUUUCUGCUACUGAUUUAUUAUUGUUUUGUUUAUCCAGUAGCAUUUAGUGAUUUAUUUUUAUCUUAUUUUAAAUUAGGUUUAUUGCAAAAACAUUACUGUUUUAGUAUCUAAUAGGAUUAAUGCUAUUUCCAUUAGUUUUAAUUAUUUUAAAUUAUUUUUCUUUUGUCAUUUUUGACAGGUUUUAAUUAGUUGCCGUUAGUUAACAGUAGGCAUUUUAUUAGUAUUUAAAAAUAAUUUUUAUUAUUUUUAUUUCUUUUCUUUUGAAAGAAAAUUUGUUUUGAUCAUAGGAGAAGUUUUAUCAAUGCUUUUCAGUUGAUUCUUUUUGCAUAGAAAUUUGUAGAAAAUUUCUUUCUGUUAUUUUUAUAAAAACUUUAUUUUAGGUUCUAUUAAAUUAUUAGUUUAGUAUUUUCUUUACUGUUGAGUUAAGUUAGGACAAAAACUAUAUUUAUGAUGUGUAGUUAAGUCAUAGGACUUUUCUUUAGUAGUUUUUCUUUAUAGUUUUCUUUGGAUUUCAUUUGGUUUUUCUUAUUGAUUUAUUUAUUGAACUUUUAUUUGUUGGUUGUUAACUUGAUUGCUAGAAUGAAUGCUUAUAUGAUUGCAAUGUUUGACUAUAUAUAUUUUAUCGGAGUGACGAAUAGUUCUACCAAGUCAUUUUCUAAUAGCUUUAUAAAUCUUCAUCAAGUAAUACCAGACAAGUUCACUUUGACCAUAUUGUUGUAUACCUAUGAUUUUGCUUUUAUUUAGUGCCACCUUUUUCAUUAAUUCCUCCAGUAGUGGUUUUGAAUUCUUGUAGUUGUAGAAUGCAUGAGGUAGGAACCCAUCUCCCUGUUACCAAGCCCGGGACAUUGCUUAGUUUUAUUGCUACGCUAUAGUAGACGGGGUUUGGUAUGAGUGUUCAAGAGUGGUGUGAGAAUGGAGGACUCUACGCCAAUGACGACAACUUCUUGAUGGCAACUUCAAGACAGACAUUCUUCAAGGCCUGCAUUUCAAGACCUCAAGACUUCAAGACUCGAGACUAGAUUUCAAUACACACUACGGGGUGAAGGAUGGAUUUGAUGAGCACCUUGGAGUAACCAGUGGAUAGCCGGGAUGCAUGGAGAAGCGCCAUGACAUCUUGUGGAAAGCUUCACCCAGACUCAAAGAGACAGAAGAAUAUUUCAUGCCCGGAAGCUUACCUGUGCGACCGCAAGUCAUUGUGGGCUCUGGCUUGGUUAACUCUAGUUGUGACUCUGGCUGGGAUGGUGCCAGCAAUGUAGAACUACGGUAGGAUUGGAUGGGCACCGGACAGUGGUCAGAGGAACUCUUCGAAAGACCAUGUUUCGAUCGUCCUGUUCUCAAAAAAUCUGAAGUGCGAGGAUGAAAAGGGAGGGAUCGAAUCUUGCGGGUAAAGUUUACAAACCUAUGCAGAGUGUUAAAACCUAAUCAAUUAGCCAUGUCCCCGGUUACGGACAAUUUGAGCCUUGAUAUGUCCAUUUUACAUCAUGUUUUCUGAUAUGUCUCCAACGUAUCUAUAUUUUUUUAUUGUUCCAAGCUGUUACAUUAUCAUUCUUGUACGUUUUAGAAUCAUUUUAUAGCAACUUUAUAUCAUUUUUGGGACUAACCUAUUGACAUAGUGCCCAGUGCGAGUUGCUAUUUUUUGCUUGCCUUUUACUUCACAGAAAAUCAAUACCAAACAAAGUGAAACUUUUUUGGAGAUUUUUUCUGAACCAGAAGACACCAGAUGAGCAAAAGAAGUACUAGAGGGGUGCCCCGAGGGGGGCACAACCCACCUAGGCGUGCCCUGGUGUGUUGUGCCCACCUCGGUGCCCUCCCGCACCACCUCUUCGCCCUAUAAAUUCCCAAAUAUUCCAAAAACUCUAGGGGAGUCAAUAGAUCGGAAGUUCCGCCACCGCAAGCCUUUGUAUCUGUGAAAACCAAUCUGGACCCUGUUCCGGCACCCUGCCGGAGGGGGAGAUCAUCACCGGAGGCCAUCUUUAUCAUCCCUAUGGUUUCCAUGAUGAUGAGGGAGUAGCCCACCCUCGGGGCUGAGGGUUUGUACCAGUAGCUAUGUGUUUAAUCUCUCUCUCUCUGGUGUUCUUCAUAUGGCACGAUCUUGAUGUAUCGGGGGCUUUGUUAAUAUAGUUGGAUCCUAUGGUAUUUCUCCCUCUCUAUCUUGUUGUGAUGAAUUGAGUUUUCCCUUUGAGGUUUCGUUGUUAUCGGAUUGAAUACUUAUAUGGAUUCAAGAGCACUUGAUGUAUGCCUUGCAUAUGAAUACCCAUGGUGACAAUGGGGUAUUAUGUUGAUUCACUUGAGAUAUGUUUUGGCACUCAACUCGUGGAUUCCUGAGGUGGGGUAAUCUAUGCAUAGGGGUUGAUCCACGUUCUCGUCUUUUGUUUCUCCGGUAGAAAUCUUGGGGCACUCUUUGUGUUGGAUUGAGUAUUAUGAAUUUGAAAUUGUUUUGGUGUUAUUUUAGUAUGAACUCUUGAAAGAUCGAUUGGAAAAAAUAACUUAGUGUUAUUUUAGUAUGAACUCUUGAUAGAUCGAUCAGAAAGAGUAACUUGGUGUUAUUUUAGUAUGAACUCUUGGAUAGAUCCAUCAGAAAGAAUAGCUACAAACAAUUUCUUCGUAUGUUCUCCGCUAGAAAAUAACUUUGGAGUGAUUCUUCAUCGCACUUUGAGGGAUAUUAUAAAAAUAUAUUUCUAUCAUCCACAUUACACUUUUAUCACCAUCUCUUCGCCGAACUAGUGCACCUAUACAAUUUUCCAUUGUAUUGGGUGUGUUGGGGACACAAGAGAUUUCUUAUAUUUGGUUGUAGGGUUGUUUGAGAGAGACCAUCUUCAUCCUAUGGCUUCCUCCGAUUGAUAAACCUUAGGUCAUCCACUUGAGGGAAAAUUGCUACCGUCCUACAAAACUCUGCGCUUGGAUGCCCAACACGAGUCUACAAGAAUAAAGUUGUGUAGUAGACACCAAGCUCUUUUCUGGUGCCGUUGCCGAGGAGGUGAGUGCUUGAAGCUAUAUCUUUGGAUCUUGCAAUCGAAUCUUUUAGUUUCUUGUUUUAUCACUAGUUUGGUUUAUAAAAAGAAAACUACAAAAAAUGGAAUUGAGGUAGUCUCAUAUUGUUCAUCUUUAUAAUGUCUUUCUUGAAAGUGAUGGAUCGAAAAAUUGUGCUCAAUUGAUAGAAGAAGAAUUCAAUAAAAUGUUUGGCAUAAAUGACGAGCAUGAUUGCAAUGUUGUUAGUAUGAAUUCUAUAAAUAUCCAAAAUGCUAACGAUGAUUGCACUAGUCAUGAGAAAAAUGUUUCUUAUAAGGACUUUGUGAAGCCGUGCCUUAUAGGGAAGAUAGAUUUUGUAAGAAGCAUAAAAAUGAUAGAACCAAUUUUUUGCUCAGAGUGAUAGAUAAAUUUGCUACAAAAUUAUGUUCUAUUUGUCCUAUUACUUGUGAUCUUUGCAAUAAAGUUGGCCACCUUAAUUUCCAUUGCAUGUUUUUUCAUGAUCGAAUCGUGUCCCAAUAUUACAAUAACUUGAUCACCCUUGAAAUUUAUAAUGAGCUUUGUCUAUUUUUGGGGAGUGAAGAAUUGGCACAUAAAAAUAGUUGGUUUGAAGUAUUCAUUCCCCACAUACGACAAUGAAACUAAUCUAAAAAAUAUCUAUAUGUUUUGCAUGGUAAAUUGCAAUGAGAAUGCUUAUAUUGCCAACUAUAGAAAGAUGGGAAAACCAAUAGAAUAUGAAAAUACUAAUGAAAGGAUAAAGAUUUCGACUUUCCCUCCUAUUGUCUCUCAUGAUGAAAUAGGUGACGAGGAGGAGCUCCCUAUUCAACCAAUCUCAUCAACAAGAAGCUCACAAAAAUUAAUUAAACCCACACAUGACGUGGUGAAGAAGAAGAAAAGAAGAAACAAUAGAGGUAAAAAGGUACCUCUCCCAAAUAAUGUUGCUACUAUUAUUGUUGUGCCUCAUGAAAAUGAAUCAAAAAUAACAGUGGAAGAUGAUGCACUUGAUGAUGAUAUUGCUUCUUUCUCUCAUGGCACAAUGUCCGAGAGCACUAUUGAUGAUGAUUUUGUUAUGCCUAUUACUUGUUGUGAUAUUUAUGAUUGGGAAGAUAAUGAUACUUCUUAUAAUCUUGGAAAUAUUUUUGGCACCAACUUGGGAAGUUAUGAUGAUAGCAAUUGUUAUACCAUUGGUGCUAUUCAUACUAUUAAUGAUGAGAGUGAUUAUGCUUAUGAUAUGCCAAGCCACAAGCUUGGGGAUGCUAUGUUUGAUGAGAAUGGCACGUUUGAGAAUUUAUUUGCUGAAAUUAAUGUUUGUCCCAAGCUUGGGGAUUCUAUGCUUAAUGAAGAUGAUAUUUUUAGCCCCCCUACUUGGAAUGAUCAAAUUUUCUGUGAUGAUUGCACGCCUCUUACUUAUGAUGAUUGCAAUAUUUAUGAAAGUGGGUUUGGAAGAGUGUCAACUUUAGAUAAUAUUUGUCCCACUAUUUUGGAGGGUGUUGAAUCCUAUUAUGAUGAUAAAAGUGGAUUUGAAGAGGUCAUGACUUUAUUUAGUAAUGAUUCCACUAUUUCAGAAGAGGUUUCAAUUGACUAUGAUGAGAACAAAGUUGCUACUUAUGAUGAUUAUUGUGGUGAUACUUAUGAUAUAAAAAGUAGUGAUAAUUAUUGUCAUAAUUUUGAAUAUCCUUUUACUGAACAAUAAUAUUUUAAUGUGGAAACAAUUUAUAGUAUUCCAAUUUCAUAUGAUACUCCGACUAUUGUGAAUGAGAAUAAAUUUGCUUAUGUGGAGAGUAAGAAAUUUUCUAUGAUUUUGGAUCAUGAACGAAUACUUUAUGUGAUAGCUAUAUUGAUGAAUCCAUUCAUGAUGCUACUGAAAAUUAUUAUGAGAGAGGAACUUAUGAUUCAUGAUGCUAUUAUUAUGUUUCAAAUCUUUACUUUUAUGUGAGCAUCAUUGAAAUCAUCAUGCCUAGCUAAAAGGCAUUAAAGAAAAGCGCUUGUUGGGAGACAACCCAGCAUUUACCUCUACUGUUUUUAUGUGUUCACAUGAUUAGUAUACUAUAGUAAUCAUUUUUAUAGCUUUUGUUUCAAUAAAGUACCAAGUAAAGCCUUUGGGAUAGUGUGGAUGAUAGUUGACUUGAUUCUGUGCAAAAACAGAAACUUUUGUGCUCAGUCCAGGAAUUUUCAAAAUUCACUGGAACGCGAUUUUGAUCUGAAUUUUUUAUAGGUUAUAGAUAUACAAAUUCCCUAUGUUGUCCUAAUUUUUCAUAAUGUUUGGAGUAGCAAAAGUAUGGUAGUUGUCCAGAUCAUUACAGACUUUUCUGUUUUUUGACAGAUUCUGUUUUCAAUCAUAGUUUACUUGUUUUCUAGUUUCUAUGGCUUAUAUUGGUCAAUAUAAAUUGUAGAAAUUAUAAGGUACAAUAGGCAUUGUGUGGGGACAAUAAAGAAUCUUGUCUUUGACAGUACCAAAGUGGAUGAUUUGUCUUUAUCAUACUAACCUAUCUCACAAAGUUCCGUUAAGUUUUGUGUGAUUGGGGGAAAUUGAAGCCAUCCUCAUCACCAACAACCCUCUCAUCGUGGGAGGGACAAUAUUAAUCAACAUAUUAAACAACACCAUCUCAUCUCAAACCCUAGUUCAUCUCUUGUAUUCAAUCUUUGUAUCAAAAUCUCAGAUUGGUACCUGUGGGCCAGAUCCGUUAAGUUUUGUGUGAUUGAAGUUUUGAAGUUCUGGGUGAGAUAUCGAUAUGAGGAGAAUAAGGAGUGACAAGACCCUAGGCUUGGGUAUGCCCAAGGCACCCCCAAGGUACUAUUCAAGGUAGAUCCAAGCAACUAAUCUUGGGGAUGCCCCGGAAGGCAUCCCCUCUUUCGUCACCAACAUUAUCGGUAACCUUACUUGGAGCUAUAUUUUCAUUCGUCACAUGAUAUGUGUUUUUCUUGGAGCAUCAUUUUAUUUUGCUAGGAUUUUCUUGAUGUUAUUUAGAAUAAUGUUUUGCAACUUUUACUUCAAUAAAAAUCUCAAGUAUAUCCUUUGCCAUGCUUAUUUUGCAAGUAUAUAUGUUGCUCUUCAAAACAGAAAGUUUAUCGUUGUUGCAAAAAUUCUCUAGAAAAGUCAGAAUGUGAUAAAAUGUUGAAAUUUUUUGCACACUAAUCUAUGAUAAAUCUUCUACAGACUGGUAAAUUUUUCAGAAUUUUGUUUAGACAGAUUGCUGUUAUGUUUGCAUUGUUUGCAUAUGUUUGCUUGUUUAAUGAUUCUAUUUGAGGAUAGGAGUAUUAAACAUGCAGAGGCAUUUAGUAUGAAAUGUUAAAUAAUAAUUUUAGUAACUUGCCACAGUAGAGAAUGAUAAGGUUUUGCAUUGAUUUAUACUAACUUAUCUCACGAGUUCUUGUUGAGUUUUGUGUGGAUGAAGUUUUUGAGAUUUAGGGAAAUCGUGAUAUGAGAGGAAUUAAGGAGACACAAGAGCUCAAGCUUGAGGAUGCCCAAGGCAUCCCAAAUUAAUAUUUCAACAAGUCUCAAGCAUCUAAGCUUGGGGAUGCUCCGAUAGGCAUCCCACCUUUCUUCUUCAACAAUUAUUGGUUAGUAUCGGUUGAGCCUAAGUUUUUGCUUCUCUACAUGAUGUGUGCUAUCCUUGGAAUGUCAUUCUAUUUGGUUUUUUCUUGCUGUUUUAAUAAAAUACUUAGACCUGAAAGUUUUUAAAUAAGAGAGAGUCCUCAAUUAGCUACCCCUUUACUUAACUACUCGCUUGAACUUCACUUAUAUCUUCUUGGAGUAGUUUGUCAUUUACUCUAGUGCUUCACUUAUAUCUUUUUGAGCACGACGUGCUUUAAAUUUUUUGAAGAAAAACUCUCAUGCUUCACUUAGAUUUAUUUGAGAGUUAGUAUAUUUUUGAAGAAAUUCUCUCAUGCUUCACUUACAUAUUUUGAGACAAGAAAAUUUCUAUGCUCAUGUUCUUCACUUAAAUUUGUUUUGAGCUUAUCAAAAGCAACAUAUGAAAUUAGUCCCAAAGUGACAGAUGGGUUUGGGCGCCUCCCCCUAGGUGCCUUGGCCCCCAAGGCAAGUGGAGGAAACCCUAGGGAGGUGCCCCACCUCUUCAAGCAAUGUUGGAAAAGGGUCUUGGGAUGCACAACCCCUUAGUGGGCUGGUGUGCUACCUCCCCUUUGGCCCAUGAGGCCCCCAACACUUGCCGUGGCCUCCCAAAACCUCUUUCGGUCAUGUUGGUCAUCACCCGGUACCCCAGGAACACUUCCGGACUCCAAUACCCUUCGUCCAAUAUAUCAAUCUUCACCAACGGACCAUUCCAGAGUUCCUCGUCACAUCCGGGAUCGCAUCCGGGACUCCAAACAACCUUGGGUUACCACCAUAAUGACUCAACUAUACUUAUAUCGUCACGAAACAUUAAGUGUGUAGACCCCGCGGGAUCGAGAAUUAUGCAGACAUGACCGAGACACCUCUACGAUCAAUAACCAAUAGCGGGACCUGGGUGCCCAUAUUGGUUCCUACAUAUUCUACGAAGAUCUUUAUCGGUCGAACCUCGAUGUCAAGGAUUCAACUAAUCCCAUAUGUAGUUCCCUUUGUCUAUCGGUAUGUUACUUGCCCGAGAUUCGAUCAUCGAUAUCUCCAUACCUAGUUCAAUCGUGUUACCGGCAAGUCUCUUUACUCGUUCCAUACUACAAGAUUCCAUGACUAACUCCUUAGUCACAUUGCUUGCAAGCUUUUUUGAUGUUCCAUUACUGAGAGGGCCUAGAGAUACCUCUCGGUCGUAUGGAGUGACAAAUCCCAGUCUUGAUCCAUGCCAACUCAAUAGACACCCUCGCAAAUACCUGUAGAGCAGCUUUAUAGUCACCCAGUUAUGUUGCGAUGUUUGGUACACACAAGGUAUUCCUCCGGUGUCAAGUGAGUUGCAGGAUCCUCAUGGUCAUAGGAACAUAUAUACUUGACAUGCAAAAAAUGUACAAUAAACCUGAUAUGAUCAUAUGCUAUGUUUACAGUUUGGGUCUUGUCCAUCACAUCAUUCUCAUAAUGGUGUGGCCCCAUUAUCAAAUGACAACUCAUGUCCAUGGCUAGGAAACCAUAGCCAUUUUUGAUCAAUGGGCUAGUCUAGUAGAGGCUCACUAGGGACAUGUUGUUGUCCAUGUAUUGAUGACCCACAAGUAUAUGGGGUCAAUUGUAGCCUUUUCGAUAAGUAAGAGUUUCAAACCCAACGAGGAGCAGAAGGAAAUGGUGGUUUUCAGCAAGGUAAUGUCUGCAAGUGCUAAAAUUGUAAGUGUCGGCGUUCUGGGAACGGGGGUACCUAGACUUGCCUGCCUGCGGCCUGCGGCGUGGCUCAAGUGGGGGCCCAGUGCAGCCCAGCUUCAUCAGCUCAAGCUCAAGACCCUCGCGAGGGGCCAAGCCUCGCGGGGCGGACGAUAGGAAGCUUCCUUAGGAGCAGCCUCGUCAGGCAGGCUCGCAAGGAGGCGGAGAGAUCAAGGCAAGGGCACCUCCCGAGGAGCUCGUGACGCAAGCCAUGACGAUCGAGACCAGGCGGGCGUCGGCCUGCGCAGUGUCCUUGUUUCCCCUUCGGUGCAAAGGGGGCAAGCACAGGCCAAGGCAUCAGGCAAAGGUUACUGUUUCGGUGCAACAAGACCAAGACCAGCAGAACGACAGGAUGGAGGUCAUCGUGGAGCCCAGGACGGCGUCAUCGUCAGAGCCUUUGGUAGCCAUAGACCAACUUUAGUCAGGAUAAGUGUACUAGAUGUUCCCCUUCAAAAUGGCCUAUUGUUGGCGCCCUUCUCGCUCAUUAUUUGGGAGAGGCCCAGGGCCUCCCUCUAUAAAUAGGACUAGCCACCACAGAGUAGGGGCAGCUGGGAGACAGAUCGAUCAGAGAGAGAGAGAAGCGACUGAACUCACCCAAGCAGUUCAUCGCACCAGCUCAAGAACAGCCCCUCGCGAGGCUGUUCUCCCUUUGUAUUGUUCAUCAUCAGCCCCUGAGGCAAUCCACCACACCACACACUGAAGUAGGAUAUUACACCACAAUGGUGGCCUGAACCAGUAUAAAUCUCGUGUCCCUUGUGUGUUCUUCUUUCUAGCCUAGAUUCCUUGCAAGGCUUCGAAACGUGAGCUGGUAGGGGGAAAAUCUUUGUGUGCACCCCAGAGUUCGAACCUCAAGGGUCUGCCGGAACCCGAAAUCCGACAUUUGGCGCGCUAGGUAGGGGUGCGCCGGAAUCUUUCUUCCGAUGGUCGCGUGUGAUCUUCCGUCGUGCCCAUGUCUGACGCUCGCCGAGCCUGUGCCAAGCGUCGGGCUACUCUUGCCACUCGAGUCGCCCAGACGGCUCCUGUCGGCGGACGCCCCCGUCGCCUGCAACUAACGCCGCCACCGGCCUGGCGGGGAACGAGCAGCAGGCCUCUUCCCUGCAUCCUUCGGUGCAGCGGGAAGGCCGCACCGCCACCCCGUCGCUGACUCCAGCCGGUCCGUCGUCCCACGCCCGUCGCGCCCCCACGGACGCGCACGUUGUGCUGCUCCUGAUGCGUGAGCUCCUGCACUACCGUCCCGUCGACGACCUCUACGAGGACUGGCUCGCCUGCAUCACCGAGCUCGUCAGCGCCGCAGGGGGCUCCCCUGUGCCGUCCCUCUCGCUGCCUCGCCCUCCGUCCUGCGCAGGAGGCAAGGAGCAGGAGGUGCCUCCGCCACCUCCUCCCCAAGAAGGUGCCCUGGCUCCAAGGCGCGCGGCCCUAGGACGAGACCCACCAUAUCCGGCGCCUGCACGACAAGAAAGGAGCUGCCAGGAAAUUCCUCGUCCCCAAGAAGGUGCCCGCGUGCUCCCAGCACCGGUGCGCCAUGACCACAUCCCUGCGCCACCACGUCAAGACCCCGCGCUGCUCCAGGCAGCAGUGUGCGGGAAUCCCCACGAGCAAGCCCCGCAUCAGCAGAGAGCUCCGGUGGCGACUGCAGGCUGCCGCGCCUUCACCGCCGAGCUGCGUAGCGUCGCAUGGCCCGACAAGUUCAAGCCGGACCUGCCUCCUCGCUACGACGGUACUGCCGACCCCGUGGAGUUCCUCCAGUUCUACGAGCUGGGCAUCGAAGCCGCCAACGGGGACGAAAAGGUCAUGGCGAAUUGGUUCCCCAUGGCGCUCAAGGACGGUGCCCGCACCUGGCUCCUGAAGCUGGCUCCUGGCACGAUCUCCUCCUGGGACGAGAUGCGCACUCGCUUCAUCGCCAACUUCCAAGGCACUCGCGACCAGCCCCCGGCCAUGAAUGACCUGUGCUGCAUUAAGCAACAGCCAGGAGAGACCCUGCAGAAGUACAUCCAGCGCUUCAACAACACCCAUGCUAUGUCUUGAGCUUGCGUUGGUUUUCCUCAAAGAGGAGAGGGUGAUGCAGCAAGUAUAGCGUAAGUAUUUCCCUCAGUUUUGAGAACCAAGGUAUCAAUCCAGUAGGAGGCUCCUCAAAAGUCCCACGCACCUACACAAACAAACUGAGAACUCGCAACCAACGCAAUAAAGGGGUUGUCAAUCCCUUCACGGCCACUUGCGAAAGUGAGAUCUAAUAAAGAUAGUAUGAUAAGAUAAAUAUAUUUUUGGUAUUUUAUAAUAUAGAUGCAAAAAGUAAAGAUGCAAAUAAAGGUAAACUGAAAGCAAAUAUGAUAAGAGAUAGACCCGGAGGCCAUAGGUUUCACUAGAGGCUUCUCUCAAGAUAGCAUAAGUAUUACGGGGGGUGAACAAAUUACUAUCGAGCAAUUGAUAGAAAAGCGCAUAGUUAUGAGAUUAUCUAGGCAUGAUCAUGUAUAUAGGCAUCACGUCCAUAACAAGUAGACCGACUCCUGCCUGCAUCUACUACUAUUACUCCACACAUCAACUGACUCCUGCCUGCAUCUAGAGUAUUAAGUUCAUAAGAACAGAGUAACGCAUUAAGCAAGAUGACAUGAUGUAGAGGGAUAAACUCAUGCAAUAUGAUGUAAAACCCAUCUUGUUAUCCUCGAUGGCAACAAUACAAUACGCGCCUUGCAACCCUUUUUGUCACUAGGUAAGGACACCGCAAGAUUGAACCCAAAGCUAAGCACUUCUCCCAUGGCAAGAAAGACCAAUCUAGUAGGCCAAACCAAACUGAUAAUUCGAAGAGACUUGCAAAGAUAACUCAAUCAUACAUAAAAGAAUUCAGAGAAGAUUCAAAUAUUAAUCAUAGAUAAACUUGAUCAUAAACCCACAAUUCAUCGGAUCUCGACAAACACACCGCAAAAAGAGUUUACAUCGAAUAGAUCUCCACAAGAGAGGGGGAGAACAUUGUAUUGAGAUCCAAAAAGAGAGAAGAAGCCAUCUAGCUAAUAACUAUGGACCCGUAGGUCUGUGGUAACCUACUCACAACUCAUCGGAGGGGCAAGGAUGUUGAUGUAGAAGCCCUCCAUGGUCGAUUCCCCCUCCGGCAGAGUGCCGGCGAAGGCUCCAAGAUGAGAUCUCGCGGAUACAGAAGGUUACGGUGGUGGAAGUUGUGUUUCGUGGUGCUCCUGGAUGUUUUCGGGGUACGUAGGUACAUAUAGGAGGAAGAAGUACGUCGAUGGCCGCCCGAGGGGCCCACGAGAUAGGGGGCGCACCCUAUAGGGGGGGGGGGCGGCCCCCUAUCUCAUGGGGCCCUCAAAAGCUUCUUGACUUGCACUCCAAGCUCUCCGGAUCACGUUCGUUCCAAAAAUCACGCUCCUGAAGGUUUCAUUCCGUUUGGACUCCGUUUGAUAUUCCUUUUCUUCGAAAUACUGAAAUAGGCAAAAAAACAGCAAUAUGGGCUGGGCCUCCGGUUAGUAGGUUAGUCCCAAAAAUGAUAUAAAUGUGUAAAAUAAAGCCCAUAAACAGCCAAAAGGGGUAAUAUAAUAGCAUGGAACAAUAAAAAAUUAUAGAUACGUUGGAGACAUAUCAAGCAUCCCCAAGCUUAAUUCCUGCUCGUCCUCGAGUAGGUAAAUGAUAAAAAAGAGAAUUUUUGAUGUGGAAUGCUACCUAGCAUAAUUCAUAAUGUAAUUUUCUUUAUUGUGGCAUGAAUGUUCAGAUCCAAAUGAUUCAAAAUAAAAGUUCAUAUUGAUAAAAGAAAUAGUAACACUUCAAGCAUACUAAUCAAAGUGAUCAUGUCUUCUCAAAAUAGCAUGGCAAAAGAAAGUUCAUCCCUACAAAAUCAUAUAGUUAGGCUAUGCUUCAUUUUUGUCACACAAAGAUGUUCCCAACUUCUAUACCCCCGAUGACAAGCCAAGCAAUUGUUUCAUACUUAAAUAAUCUCAAACUUUUUCAACCUUCACGCAAUACAUUAGCGUGAGCCAUGGAUAUAUCACUAUGGGUGGAAUAGCGUAUGAUGAUGGGGAUUGUGUGGAGAAGACAAAAAAGAGAAAGUCUCACAUUGACGAGGAUAAUCAAUUGGCUAUGGAGAUGCCCAUCAAUUGAUGUCAACAUGAGGAGUAGGGAUUGCCAUGCAACGGAUGCACUAGAGCUAAAAAUGAAUGCUCAACAAAAGAAAACUAGUGGGUGUGCAUCCAACUUGCUUGCUCACGAAGACCUAGGGCAUUUGAGGAAGCCCAUCAUAGGAAUAUACAAGCCAAGUUCUAUAAUGAAAAAUCCCCACUAGUAUGAAAAAGACAACUUAUGAGACUCACUAUAUGAAAAACAAGGUGCUACUUUGAAGCACAAUAUAUGAGACUCACUACAUGAAGAACAAGGUGCUACUUUGAAGCACAAGUGUGGAAAAAGAGAUAGUAACAUUGCCCUUUUUAUUUAUUUAUUUGUUUUUCUUUUUUUUCUUUUUUUUGGGCAUUUCUUUUUUUUCUUUUGGCCUUUCUUUUUUUUUUCUUUGGGCAAUGUUCUAAUAAUGAUGAUCAUCACACUUCUAUUGAUUACAACAUAAGAAUUACAACUCGAAACUAGAACAACAUAUGACUCUAUAUGAAUGCCUCUGGCGGUGUACCGAGAUGGUGCAAUGAAUCAAGAGUGACAUGUAUGAAAAAUAAUGCUUGGUGGCUUUGCCACAAAUACGAUGUCAACUAUAUGAUCAUGCAAUGGCAAUAUGACAAAAGUAAUGUAUGUCAUGAUGAUGAUGAGCGGCAUGGUGGAAAGUUGCAUGGCAAUAUAUCUCGGAAUGGCUAUGGAAAUGCCAUAAUAGGUAGGUAUGGUGGCUGUUUUGAGGAAGAUAUAAUGAGGUUUAUGUGUGAUAGAGCAUAUCGUAUCCCAGGGUUUGGAUGCACCGGUGAAGUUUGCACCAACUCUCAAGGUGAGAAAGGGCAAUGCACGGUACCGAAGAGGCUAGCAAAGGUGGAAAGGUAAAAGUGCGUAUAAUCCAUGGACUCAACAUUAGUCAAAAGAAAUCAUAUACUUAUUGCAAAAAUUUAGAAGUCAUCAAAAACCAAGUACUAUGCACAUGCUCCUAGGGGGAUAGAUUGGUAGGAAAAGACCAUCGCUCGUCCCCGACCGCCACUCAUAAGGAUGCAUAAGCCAAGUACACUUCAUGUUUCAAAUUUGUUACACAACUUUAACCAUACGUGCAUGCUACGGGACUUGCUAACUUCAACACAAGCAUUCUUUAAAUUCAUAAUCACCCAACUAGCAUGACUUCAAUAUCACUACCUCCAUAUCUCAAAACAAUUAUCAAGUAUCAAAUUGAUCAUAGCAUCCAAUUCACUUCCUAUGAUAGUUUUUAUUAUACCCAACUUGGAUGCCUACCAUUCUAGGACCAACUUUAUGAUAAUAGCAAAUACCAUGCUGUUCUAAAAGACUCUCAAAAUAAUAUAAGUGAAGCAUGAGAGACUAGCAAUUUCUUCAAAAUUAAGACACCACCGUGCUCUAAAAGAUAUAAGUGAAGCACUAAAGCAAAAACUACCAAGCUCAAAAGAUAUAAGUGAAGCACAUAGAGUAUUCUAGCAAAUUCUAAUCAAAUAGGCUUCUCCCAAAAGGUGUGUACAGCAAGGAUGAUUGUGGUAAACUAAAAAGAAAAGACUAAUAUAAUACACGACGCUCCAAUCAAAACACAUAUCAUGUAGCGAAUAAAAAUAUAGCCCCAAGUAAAGUUACCAAUGAACGAAGAC